rnacentral:rRNA from 2 species
UUUGAUCCUGGCUCAGGAUGAACGCUGGCGGCGUGCCUAAUACAUGCAAGUCGAGCGAACUGAUUAGAAGCUUGCUUCUAUGACGUUAGCGGCGGACGGGUGAGUAACACGUGGGCAACCUGCCUGUAAGACUGGGAUAACUUCGGGAAACCGAAGCUAAUACCGGAUAGGAUCUUCUCCUUCAUGGGAGAUGAUUGAAAGAUGGUUUCGGCUAUCACUUACAGAUGGGCCCGCGGUGCAUUAGCUAGUUGGUGAGGUAACGGCUCACCAAGGCAACGAUGCAUAGCCGACCUGAGAGGGUGAUCGGCCACACUGGGACUGAGACACGGCCCAGACUCCUACGGGAGGCAGCAGUAGGGAAUCUUCCGCAAUGGACGAAAGUCUGACGGAGCAACGCCGCGUGAGUGAUGAAGGCUUUCGGGUCGUAAAACUCUGUUGUUAGGGAAGAACAAGUACAAGAGUAACUGCUUGUACCUUGACGGUACCUAACCAGAAAGCCACGGCUAACUACGUGCCAGCAGCCGCGGUAAUACGUAGGUGGCAAGCGUUAUCCGGAAUUAUUGGGCGUAAAGCGCGCGCAGGCGGUUUCUUAAGUCUGAUGUGAAAGCCCACGGCUCAACCGUGGAGGGUCAUUGGAAACUGGGGAACUUGAGUGCAGAAGAGAAAAGCGGAAUUCCACGUGUAGCGGUGAAAUGCGUAGAGAUGUGGAGGAACACCAGUGGCGAAGGCGGCUUU